ensembl:misc_RNA Y_RNA Y RNA
GGCUAGCCUCAUGGCAGUGGGUUAUCAGAAUUUAUUAACACUGGUGUCACUAAAGUUGGUAUAUAAUCCCCCCACUGCUAAAUUGGACUGGAUUUUA